GCCAGUUGACUCCGAGGCGCGCACAGCGCAUCCCUGCGGGUCGCGGAAGUGACGCGGGGCACCCCGGCAAGAGAGCGUUUGAAUCGGUUCCCGGGUUGCUUCCAGGCCGCAGCCGAGGAGGUGCUGCGCCGCUGGCCUAGACCCCGAGCCAUGGCUGCUGGAGCCGAGGGCACGCGCGGAGUGGGCGUCGCCGCGAAGUGCUCCCGAGGGAGGGCCGUGGGGUGUUCACUGCAAUAUGGCAGUGACGGGCGCCAGCAAUCCCGGAGGCCUCUCGGCGGGCUCUGGGACAGGCGGAGGCGUCGAUGACUGCAGGACCGUGUACUUGUUUGACCGGCGCGGGAAGGAGUCGGAGCUCGGGGAGCGCGCACUGCAGGUCUGCAGGCUCUGAGGGUUCCGCGCUGCUGUGUGUCAGGUAACGACCAGAUGUUAAAGAAGAGACUGGAGAUGGUGGAGGUGCAGGGCCAGGGUCUGCCGUAGUGAAUGAGGAGGUGGAGUCAAGCCCCUGGUGUUCCUGUUCUUGUAGUAACAGGGAACACUGUCAAGUCUUCAGCAGAAUGCACCAUGUCCACAAAGAUCCAUUUGGACAACCUGAAAAAGGAGACCAUGAAUUCAACUGACAUUUUGGACUAUUUAAUAGAGGUAUCUGUUGUACAUGUGGCUUUAGUUCAACAUAAAUACAGCAUUUUUCUCUGGAAACAUAACCUGAGUUGGAAAGGAAACCUGAAGAGAAGACACUUGAGUUCACCAACUUGUUUCUCCUCAGCAUGUUAGCAAUGAUCCCAAAGGAGGGUUCUGGCAGCAGUUCAGGACUCAGGCCCAGGGCAGGAAUGAGGGAAGACUCCUUGUAUGUCAAAGGCCCUGCUCAAGUCCAAGGCCUGCACUUGUGUUCCCCUGCUCAGCUUCAGAUUCCUCACACAGCCCCGGAACGAGGUCUGGCUGGUCAGACAGUUCUGCUUGACGUGGGCUGUUGAGAAAACAAGACAUAAGCCUUGCUCAAUUUUGUUGAUAGGGUAAGUUGUACAUUAGGAACAAAAAAUUAUCUAAGUGGAUCUUCUAUCAAACUAGGCUAUUUCCCACACACGUGGCUUUAGCGGAUGGCAGAAUUCCUCGGAACUGUUAACACUUGAAGACAUAGCCGCGACUUGAAAAAUCAUGCAACAGGCGUUAAGGAUUUGCAGUAAUUUCUCGGGACAUCUUAAAUGCUCAAUUCAAAAUGCAAAAUUGGUGCAAGAGGGUGAAGCCUGCCUAACCCUGUGACCUUGGAACCAUCUAGGGAAGAAGUACGAUCAUCCCACCUGCUUGCCAUCAGAACCAAUGUUCUCAAUGAGAAAUGUGUGUGUGAGGGUUAUGCUAAAUUCCCCAAGAAUGUUUAGGUAUGAUAUUCCAAACAGCUUUUCUAAAACGGUGAGACUUGUCACUGAACCGUGUAUCUCUCUAUCCCUAGCCUGUAUUCCUCUGAGGUUCUACCUUCCUGGGACUGGGCUUCCCAUAAGGUAAAGAGACUGGAGUCAUACAUACCAGGAUAGCCGCCCACAUAAAUGGGAUCAUUAGUGUCGGCCGAGGUGGAAUGGGUGUGAGGACUUUCAGCCCUAACAGGAUUCCCAUCCACAGUCAGGGCAAUGCGGUGUUUGCUUUUCUGGGCUUGGAGCAUGUGCCAUUUCCCGUCACAGAGAGUUCUGGAGGCUCUGGGCUCGUAUGUGGCUGUUAUCCUACCAGCGCCAUUGUUGACGUGAAAUAAGACCUGAAGAAAGCAAACACUUGGGUGAGGUUUUCUGUUCAAGACCACCGUCUUCUUUGCACUAGAUCUCAACCAGAAGACCAAGAAGCCAUGGAGCACAGAGCAUUGAUGAAUUGUUCCCACUGUGGGAAAUCUAAGGGCCAAGAACCUGGAAAUGAAAUGCUAAAAACAAGCAAGUAGGUUCAUGGGAGCCUGCAAGGAGACUUCUGUUCCACUGGACUUCUCUGUGUGCUCUGGUGCCUCCUACUUACGUGGACACAGUCAGAUUGGCUCAGAGCUCACAUCAGUGACCUCACUUUAAUCGAGUUAUCCUUUCAUUCACAUUUAUUUAUUGUGUGUAUCUGUGUGCCCAUGCAUGAGCACAUGCAGAAACCACAGACCAACUUGCUGGAAUUGGUUCUUUCCUACCAUCCUGUGGAUUCUGGGGGUUGAACUGAGGUUGUUAGAAUUGGCACCUGGCAUUUAUGCCCAGGAAGCCAUCUCGCUAGCUCCUAAUUACCUCCUUAAAGUCUAAACAAGAUCACAUCCUGAGAGGUGAGAGUAGGUAGGGCUUUAGCAUGUGAAUUUGAGGGACACCAUCUUCGUUGCCUUCCAAAGGGAACACUGAAGCAUCUUAUAAUAAAACUGGUGUCAGAGCUCACCAGGAGAGGGAAACCCAAGACGCCAAUGUCCAUAGUUUCUGUGGCUUAAGUGUGGCACGGUAUACAUGCCCAUUUCUCUCAUGUGCCAGAUAGUGGGAUGGAUGGUAGCUCCAGCUGAAGAUGCAGCCCUGGCGAAGACACUUGGGAAGUCUAGUCCCCAAGGGUUGAAGUGUACAUGGUCUAGGAGGUGUCACCACCCAGUGGCAGCACUGAGACCUCAGGCCAUUUGUGCCAACAGUCAAACGUAUAUGGGCCCCUGAGGACCAACUUCAGGGGCCCCAACUAACACCCCACAGAAAGAGAGGGGACCCCAACUCCCCUCCGCAUGUUCAUGUGGCCCCAAAGGGGAGGAAAGGGAGAAUGAACACCAGGAACAGCUAUGGCAUGGAGGUAGGGCACCUACCUUGCCGUCUACAAUCUCUAGGCCAAUGGCAUCCACUUUGGCACUGCUGAUUCCCAGAAGGACACCAUUCUUAGAGGAGGUGCGGAACUCCAGGGUGAUGUUUAAAUCUAAUCGCACUCUGUAGCCUUCCUUGACUGAAAAACACGGCACACUGUUACUGAGAGAACCCACAAGAUGGACUUUCCAGGCUGCCUUUGGCUGGCUAAGCAUUCAUGGUAUUGGCCAAGUUCAAGAUCAUGCUACACUCCCACCCCAUCCUCUGGGUCUCAGCUCCUCCAUUCCCCAGUAAGAAGAAGCAUUGCUUUUUUUUCCCUGCUUCUGUUUGUUUUAAUGGAGUCUUGCUAUGUAGUCAAGCUGUCCUGACUCUGCGUCCUGAGUGCUGAGAUCACGGAUGUACACAACCAUUGGUACAUUGGUACACUGCCAUUGAAGAGGGUGUCCAGUCACAAAUUAGAGCAAGCACCGGCAGGGACUUCCGUCAUCUGCAGCCCUGGGGACAUCUCGUGCCUUCAGUCUGGUGAUCUUUCUAUGUGUUGUAGAUUUAUCCCCCUUAGACUUUAGCUUCUUAAUUUGUAUGUACCUUGGAUAGCAUCAUUUACUGGUUUGAAUCAGCCUCUACAGUAGGUGUUUUCAAAGUGGGAAUUGAAUAAUUUUAUUCUUUAAUUCAAGGGACAAAAAGAGUUGGAUAUUGUUAAUAGAAGGCAUUUGUCACCAUGCCUGGGGUUGACAAUAGAAGGCAUUUGUCACCAUGCCUGGGGUUGACAAUAGAAGGCAUUUGUCACCAUGCCUGGGGUUGACAAUAGAAGUCAUUUGUCACAUGCCUGGGGCUGAAUAAAAAGGGAAAGGUGAUGCUAUCAUAGCCUAGACAGAAUAAAUGUCCUACUGGCAUAUGUUGGAA